CUGCCCACUCAUCUAAUUCUUCAUUGGUUGUCUUUCCUUUUUUGCUUGCCAUGGGUGGAUUUCUUCCAACUUAGAGCACCAUACCGCAACAACACAUUCUGAAAUUGAGUUUUGCAAUUGUUUUGAUUGAUCCACUGCAUUCUUUGGAUCCUAGCUUCUCAAGGGAAGAACAUUGAUCCACCGCAUUGUUUUGAUCCCAAUUUUCCAUUUUGGUGUUCAAUUUCCUAUUUCUCUCUUUCUUUUCUUUUUUAACUUCCUCAUUGUUAUAUUUGGAUUUUUGUUUGUGUUUGAAGUUGAACUUUCGAAGUUUUUAGAGAGGUGUUUUACUAUCCAGAGUAAUAGGUUCAUCAACCAUUGAUUCUACAAUCAACAAUACUUUUUACGGUAUUUUUCCAGCAUUAUUGAUUUUGGAUAUACUUAGCCUUCAAUUAAAAAUAUUCAAAAUUUUCUAAUUUCUUUUUCAAUUUUUUUGGCAUCUUUUCUCCCUAACUCCUAAACAUACUUUUGAGGCGAAGCUAUAUCUACUCACACCACUUGGGGUCGAACCAAUAUGACAACCAUGAUGGGAUAUUUGGGAUUUUCUCUAUCUGUGGUGAUGCAAAUCAUGGAUGUAAAACUUCACUACACAUAAGCAAAGUAUGAAUCUUUGUUUCCUCUCCACUCCACACAGAGGAAUUGCAAGUGUAGUAUUCCUUACUUACCUCGACAACUUGUUGGUGAAAUCUGUCGGUGCCUUUGAUCAAGAAUCCUUGUCUUUUCUUUAAAUUGUUGUAAACUUGCAUUACAUUACAUUCAUAAAACAGACUACCAU